UACGUAGGGUGCGAGCGUUGUCCGGAAUUAUUGGGCGUAAAGGGCUCGUAGGCGGUUUGUCGCGUCGGGAGUGAAAUCCACUGGCUUAACUGGUGGCUUGCUUUCGAUACGGGCAGACUGGAGGUAUGCAGGGGAGAACGGAAUUCCUGGUGUAGCGGUGAAAUGCGUAGAUAUCUGGAGGAACACCGGUGGCGAAGGCGGCAUCCUGGACCGACACUGACGCUGAGGAGCGAAAGCCAGGGGAGCAAAGCGGG
rnacentral:rRNA from 1 species